GUGCUUGCUUCAGUAGCACAUAUGCUAAAAUACUAUGUAACAGAGAUUAGUAUAACUCCUGCACAAGGAUAAAACACAAAGUCAUAAACUGUCCCAUAUUUUG
ensembl:snRNA U6 U6 spliceosomal RNA